UGAAUGUUUUGUACUUAAAUAAAAAUCUGGUUCACUGAUCAUGUUAGAGAUGGUAUUUUCUUCUAGAACAGAACACAUGUCCCCUGCUUAUACUAGCUGAAGACAAGAUUGAGACAGAACUCUUUAGAGAAAUCCAUGGAAGGUGAAUGCAAGUGAAGAACAACGACAGAACAGAUGACACUUCUAAGACAUGUACAGUGUGUGCAUCACCAGGAGAGCUGUGCAUGGAAUGUUCUUACAUACAAUAAUGAAACUCACUCUUAAUCAAAUAAUUACAUUGGUGAGUGAGGUUGCCUAGAAUAUGAAUGCAGCAAGCCAAGAGAUCUGUCUUGGUAUAAAAUCUCAGGUACCUAACUGGCUGUGUUUAUGCUGCACUGCAAAAGCAAACUCUGUGCUCCAUGGCUGUGUCAGAGCAACAGCUUCAAGAGAUCAUCUUUCUAAGAGGGGUGCAAGGGAAGGCUAUAAGAGUGGUUUCUGUGUGAAGCAGCCAGAAGCCUCCCCAUGUCCAACAGCCCCAAUGCCAGAUGGCUCCAACACACACCCACCUCUGGCCAAUGCAGAGCUCUGUGAAGAUUUGACAACUUUGUGUAGGUUCUGUUGUGUUAUGGGCUCAGAGAAACCAGUGGGUAGGAGAAAGUGCUCUGGCCUUCAUUGAUUUCCAUUUUUAUUGACUAUUUUAUCAUCUUUUAUUAGAAAGUGGCUUCACUGUUGACCUUUUAUAUCUGCUACCCUGAGGAUAGCAAAAUGAAAAACAUUAAAUGUUAUCCUUUUCCUUUAAUAACAGAAAUUGGAUAUUUUGUUUGUAAGAGGGAAACAAUCUCAGUCCUGGAGUUCAUUUCACUGUGCAACAGAAAAUAUGUUUUGAUAUGUUUUUCUAUUGAGAGCACAUCUACUUUUACUAUUUUCCCAUAAAAUGAUAAAACAUAUGAUUU
rnacentral:lncRNA from 1 species